GCCGGGCUGGCGGAAUUGGUAGACGCGCCGUCUUGAGGGGGCGGUGGGCGACAGCCCGUGAGGGUUCGAAUCCCUCGCCCGGCACCA
rnacentral:tRNA from 1 species